CCUACGGGAGGCAGCAGUGAGGAAUAUUGGUCAAUGGACGGAAGUCUGAACCAGCCAUGCCGCGUGCAGGAAGACGGCUCUAUGAGUUGUAAACUGCUGUUGUACAAGGGUAAACCUGAAUACGUGUAUGCAGCUGAAAGGACUGUACGAAUAAGGAGCGGCUAACUCCGUGCCAGCAGCCGCGGUAAUACGGAGGAUCCAAGCGUUAUCCGGAUUUAUUGGGUUUAAAGGGUGCGUAGGCGGAUUGAUAAGUUAGAGGUGAAAUGUCCGAGCUUAACUCGGGAACUGCCUCUAAUACGGUUGAUCUAGAGCGUAGCUGCGUUCGUCGGACUGUCUUGUGUAGCGGU
rnacentral:rRNA from 1 species